rnacentral:SRP_RNA from 1 species
GCUGGAUGCGGUGGUGGGUGCCUGUAGUCCCAGCUACUCAGGAGGCUGAGGCUGGAGGAUCACUUGAGCCCAGGAGUUCUGGGCUGUAGUGCGCUAUGCCAAUCAGGUGUCCACACUAAGUUCAGCAUCAAUACAGUGACCUCCCGGGAGCGGAGGACCACCAGGUUGCCUAAGGUGGUGUGAACAGGCCCAGGUUGGAAAUGGAGCAGGUCAAAACUCCUGUGCUGAUCAGUGGUGGGAUCGUGCCUGUUGAGUAGCCCCUGCACUCCAGCCUGGGCAACAUAGAGAGCCUGUCUCU